AGCGGGAUAGGGCAGCCAGGAGUGCCCGUCGGGCUCAUAACCCGAAGGUCGUUGGUUCAAAUCCAACUCCCGCUACCA
rnacentral:tRNA from 1 species